AGCAGCCGCGGUAAUUCCAGCUCCAAUAGCGUAUAUUAAAGUUGUUGCAGUUAAAAAGCUCGUAGUUGAAUUUCGGGAUUAGUACGUUGGUCGUGCCUUCGGUACGUACUGGUGUUACUGAUUCCUACCUUCUGACGAACCAUCAUGUCAUUAAUUUGGUGUGGCGGGGAAUCAGGACUGUUACUUUGAAAAAAUUAGAGUGUUUAAAGCAGGCUCGCGCUUGAAUACAUUAGCAUGGAAUAAUGAAAUAGGACGUUGACCCUAUUUUGUUGGUUUCUAGGAUUGACGUAAUGAUUAAUAGGGAUAGUUGGAGGCAUUAGUAUUCAAUUGUCAGAGGUGAAAUUCUUGGAUUUAUUGAAGACUAACUACUGCGAAAGCAUUUGCCAAGGAUGUUUUCAUUAAUCAAGAACGAAAGUUAGGGGAUCGAAGACGAUCAGAUACCGUCGUAGUCUUAACCAUAAACUAUGCCGACUAGGGAUCGGAUGAUGUUAUUUUUAAUGACUCA
rnacentral:rRNA from 1 species